rnacentral:lncRNA from 1 species
CACUGCUCAUCCGGUAUCACUUGGGGGGCUGGGGCCUUGGGGGUGGAGCGUGCGCUCCCGAACUCACACACGUGGUCCCUGGCAAGCUGCACUCACCCACAGGACAAAGUUUCUAUUCCUCACUGUGUGGCUUCUCCCCAAGCCACGCACAACAUGUGAUUUACCUACCAUCCAGUCUCUACUAUCACUGAGAUCUAAAACCAUAUGGUUAACCUGACCACAGCCUACUUGUGAAGCUGAGAAACCCCAGCUGGCUGCCUGAGGAGGACUCACCCAGAGAGGCCCAAAUGGCAUUUGGCAGAUGUCUGAAUCUUGGUAAGGUUGGGGGGCUCCC